rnacentral:rRNA from 1 species
AGGUCUCUUCGGAGAUACACGAGUGGCGCACGGGUGCGUAACGCGUAUGCAACCUGCCCAUAACUGGAGAAUAGCUCCCGGAAACGGAAAUUAAUACUCCAUAAUAUCACACAUUCGCAUGUUUGUGUGAUUAAAGCUUCGGCGGUUAUGGAUGGGCAUGCGUGACAUUAGCUAGUUGGUGAGGUAACGGCUCACCAAGGCAACGAUGUCUAGGGGUCCUGAGAGGGUCACCCCCACACUGGUACUGAGACACGGACCAGACUCCUACGGGAGGCAGCAGUAAGGAAUAUUGGUCAAUGGGCGAAAGCCUGAACCAGCCAUGCCGCGUGCAGGAUGACAGCCCUACGGGUUGUAAACUGCUUUUCUGCAGGACAAAACUCCUCAACGUGUUGGGGACUGAUGGUACUGCAGGAAUAAGCAUCGGCUAACUCCGUGCCAGCAGCCGCGGUAAUACGGAGGAUGCAAGCGUUAUCCGGAUUUAUUGGGUUUAAAGGGUACGUAGGCGGAUUUGCAAGUCAGUGGUGAAAUCUCCCCGCUUAACGGGGAAACUGCCAUUGAUACUGUUAAUCUUGAGUACAUAUGAAGUGGGCGGAAUACGGUAUGUAGCGGUGAAAUGCAUAGAUAUGCCGUAGAACACCGAUUGCGAAGGCAGCUCACUAAAUUGUCACUGACGCUGAGGUACGAAAGCGUGGGGAUCAAACAGGAUUAGAUACCCUGGUAGUCCACGCUGUAAACGAUGAUCACUCGCUGUUGGCGAUACACUGUCAGCGGCUGAGCGAAAGCAUUAAGUGAUCCACCUGGGGAUUACGAUCGCAAGAUUGAAACCCAAAGGAAUUGACGGGGGCCCGCACAAGCGGUGGAGCAUGUGGUUUAAUUCGAUGAUACGCAGAGGAACCUUACCUGGGCUUAAAUGCUUAACGACCGUUGCCGAAAGGUGACUUUCCUUCGGGACGUUUUGCAAGGUGCUGCAUGGUUGUCGUCAGCUCGUGCCGUGAGGUGUCGGGUUAAGUCCCAUAACGAGCGCAACCCCAUAUUCUUAGUUGCACAUCAGGUAAAGCUGGGGACUCUAAGGAAACUGCCUACGCAAGUAGUGAGGAAGGUGGGGAUGACGUCAAAUCAGCACGGCCCUUAUGUCCAGGGCUACACACGUGCUACAAUGGCCGGCACAGAGGGUACUACUACGCGAGUAGAUGUUAAUCUCGAAAUCCGGUCUCAGUUCGGAUCGAAGUCUGCAACUCGACUUCGUGAAGCUGGAUCGCUAGNAUCGCGCAUCAGCCACGGCGCGGUGAAUACGUUCCCGGGCCUUGUACACACCGCCC